rnacentral:rRNA from 1 species
UACGAAGGGGGCUAGCGUUGCUCGGAAUCACUGGGCGUAAAGCGCACGUAGGCGGAUUGUUAAGUCAGGGGUGAAAUCCUGGAGCUCAACUCCAGAACUGCCUUUGAUACUGGCGAUCUUGAGUCCGGGAGAGGUGAGUGGAACUGCGAGUGUAGAGGUGAAAUUCGUAGAUAUUCGCAAGAACACCGGUGGCGAAGGCGGCUUGCUGGGCCAGUUCUGACGCUGAGGAGCGAAAGCGUGGGGAGCGAACAGG